rnacentral:rRNA from 1 species
UACGUAGGGUGCGAGCGUUAAUCGGAAUUACUGGGCGUAAAGCGUGCGCAGGCGGUUUUGUAAGUCAGAUGUGAAAUCCCCGGGCUCAACCUGGGAAUGGCAUUUGGGACUGCAAGGCUGGAGUUUGGCAGAGGAGACUGGAAUUCCUGGUGUAGCGGUGGAAUGCGCAGAUAUCAGGAGGAACACCAAUAGCGAAGGCAGCUCGCUGGGACGGUACUGACGCUAAGGCGCGAAAGCGUGGGGAGCGAACAGG